rnacentral:lncRNA from 1 species
UGCUGGGGUGCUGCCAUUUGGCAAUUUGAGGAUGAAAAGAAUCUUAUUUUCAGAUCCUGAUUGGGUAAUAAAAUUAGGGACCAAAUUGAUAGUUCCAAUAAUAUUUUGGGGAUAAUUACAUAAAUAUAUAUAUAAUUUUUUUUAUAAGUAGGGGUGGGUGUAACAAUCUACAUCCCUUAUAAAAAAAAUUUCGUCCCUGAGAUUUACAACCUUAACCAAAUAAAAACGGAUACUGACUCCUCAUUAGAUCAUCUGUUUCCCACGUCACUUACUCAACAACAUGGUUCCUCCACAACACCUUCACCAACAAAAUAACUUUGCUCCUCAACACUUUAUCCUGUCGAUCAAGUAUAGCCACUGGUUCUUCGACAUAGCAUCCUGACUUACCUUUAGUAGCUCUAGCUGAAUGAUAUAAGAAGGAUCUGAUACAUAUUUCCGAAGCAUAGAAACAUGGAAAAUGUUGUGAAUCAAUGACAACUCCGGUGGUAACUCCAAUUUGUAGGCAACUGCACCAAUUUUCUCAGAAAUCUUAUAGAGACCAACGUAUCGAGGAGUCAACUUUCCUCGCUUACCAAAACGAACAACACCCUUCCAGGGAGACAACUUCAAGAAUACAAAGUCACCAACCUUAUACUCACGAUCCCUGGAAUGUUUGUCCAUGAUGUUUUUCUGUUGGUCUUGCGCUGCCUUUAAGUUUCUCUUAAUCAGCUGGAUCUUUAUCUCUCUCUCUCUCCCGUUGCUGCGAAGAACAACGAGGUUGUUGAUGAUGGUGGUGUCUUCCCUCGAGCCGAUUGUGCAGCUGCGUGCAUGUCUCGGUGAAAGAAGGAAAGAUAUGAAGGUUUCGAGAGAGAGAUGAAAGAAGAAGAGGAAGUAACGGGGUAGGGGAUAGAAAGAGAAAAGUAAUGAGUGCUGGGGUGCUGCCACGUGGCAGUUUGAGGAUGAAAAGAAUUUUAGUUUCAGAUCCUG